GGGGUUGUGGUUCAGUGGUAAAGUACUUGCCUAGCAUGUAUGAGGCCCUGGGUUCAAUCCCCAGCACCA
rnacentral:tRNA from 1 species